UCGGUCUUUCUUAAUUUUAAAACAUUAUUAGUUCAUUAUUUAAUUUAUUCUGUCAGAAAACAAAAAAAAAAGAUGAAAUUUUUUUAUCGAUCAUAGUUUAUUGGUCUCGUCAUGCUCACAAUUCUUCUGCUUGGAGUAGUGGCGAAUGCUCAAAAAGGAGGACCAGUCUGAAAACAAUGUGUUGAACAAUACCCGGACCCAAAUGGAAAAUGUGUUAUCGACCAAUGUAAAGCCCAAUGUGCCAAAAACAGAAAAGGAGGGCUAGCUAGAUGCAUUGAUACUGGCAAAGGACACAUGCAAUGCAGAUGCGAUUAUACUUGUUGAUUUUUAUCUACGUUGAAACUCAAAUAAUAUUUAUAAUAAUACAAUAAAACUUCCUCAUUAUCAAUGAAAAGAAUUUAAAUAUUAAUAAUUUUUUUGGUGAUUGUUGUGUAAUAAGGUGUACUAGAUUACUAAAUAUAAGUACAAAAUUCGCAUA